UCUGAAUUUAUGAGGAAGGAACGGACCCAGAAGCCACUGGAGCAGGAGAGGCUGGUGAAGCAGGAGAGGUUGGUGAAGCAGGAGAGGCUGGUGAAGCAGGAGAGGCUGGUGAAGCAGGAGAGACUGGUGAAGCAGGAGAAGCUGACCUUCUAGAGAAGUCCCACUGAGAUGUACAAAGCUCUACAAGAAAAGCUGAGGUCUCGUUGCAGUGUGGAGUGGGCCAUGAGAUUACUCCAUGGAAGACGUUACGUUCCUUCUCAGAGGAAUUGUAAAGCCAUGGUGGUGUGAGUGAGUGGAACGUGGGUGGCAGAGAGAACGAAGAGAUAUAUCCUGUAGAUCCCACCACUGGGUUCUUAAUGACCCACAAUUUGUUACUGUGUGUGAUGUGAUCCUCCUUCAUAGUGAUAGCCUGUCUGCCAGAUGUACACCUCUGUGGUUCCUGAAGUUACUAGAACCGCCUAGUGGUGCUAACAAUUCCACCCUGAAACUGAGAAUUAAAUGUUCUCCACAGCUCCGGACUCUGCUGCAUUGGGCUGAGAAGCUGACGGGGAUGCCAGGAACCACUUGUGAAUUUUGUCCAUUUCCCAUGGUGCUCCAAGUCUCAAGUGAAGAGCACAGAAAACACUUCUCCCACUCUGCUCUUUAGCAGAAAAUACUUAACAAAAACUGAAAACAAACCAAAGCAAAACACGGUACCAUGCAGGAAGAACUUCAGUGAGCAGGGGGAGCUUCCGGAAGAUAGCCUACCGUUCGGCACAGCUGAGAGGGAUGUACCUCAAAGAGGCACAGCCUGGGGACGGGAGAGUUCAUCUCUGGAUUGCUUCCUGUUGCCACUGUGCCUUCUCAUGUUUGUCAUUGCUGUCUUCUUCCUGAAUAUUGACUGCAUGGUGUGAAUGGGCAUGGGGUGACCCUCACUGUCUACAGUUCACUGUGAUUUCUUCAUGGGAGACAGCCCCGCUCUACUGGGCAACUUCCCUGCAGGUCAAUGAAGAUGAACUUUCAUAGAAUGGUGCUGUUUGGGGUUGGGGAUUUAGCUCAGUGGUAGAACGCUUGCCUAGCAAGCACAAGGCCCUGGGUUUGGUCCCCAGCUCCGAAAAAAAAGAAAAGAAAAAAAAUGGUGCUGUUUAAAUGAAUUGAUGAUUUUACAAAAUUCCAGAUUUGAUUUAAAUAGUCUUAGGAAGUUAGGACAAUGAAUAAGAGAGAUUAAGGAGAUAGUUUGGGGUGUCUUGCCAGCUGCUUUGUAGCAGAAAACCUAUGGCACAUAUAAAAUUAGGAAACACUUUCUUCGUUAUUAUGAAAUGUUUGCUAAGAUCAAAGAACAAGAACGGAGCGAGCCUGAUUACUAAGGUUCACAAGUUUCACCCACAGGAGACAACUAAUAAUCAAAGACAGUAACUGAGGUUCAGUCCCCACUGUUAAGAUUGGGCUUCUGUGUCUGUUGUAAAAUCUAAUUUUCUGGUCUUAUAACUAUACAUUCACCGAUGAGUUUUUGCUGUGCACCUUGGGGACUUGGUGCUGUGCAGCGUGCAGACUGAAUAGAUUCUCCUUUUUCUGUCAUGUCAAGAAGAGUAAAAAAAAAAAACAAAUCUCUGGCCUCCAGUUCUCUAGUUAGCUGUGCAUUUACUUUUCUAUGAAAACAAUAUAAGGAUAGGUACUCGGUUACCUAUGUCAGACAAAUAAGAAUUGUGUUGAGUUAGAAUGUUGGUUUACUCAAAUUCUGUUCAUCUGUAAUAGAAAAGCGAUUACUUUAGGACGUAGACGAGCUAUGGGAAGGAACCACAUGAGAAGCUGAGUGAUCAGAUGUGGGAUUUAGAAAAAAUUGUUUUUUAAAUAAAUAGGAAAUUUGUAACCAUUUGUGUAAUUAAAAUUCAUGAUUAAGAAGUGAUCGAGUUGUGAUUUUUUUCCCGCAUUCAGAUUUUAUUUUGUUAUGUAAGGACUAAGAAAACAAAUAAAGUUGCUGGAACCUUGCUUCAUCCA